rnacentral:rRNA from 1 species
UAGGGAAUCUUCCGCAAUGGACGCAAGUCUGACGGAGCAACGCCGCGUGAGUGAAGAAGGAUUUCGGUUCGUAAAACUCUGUUGUUAGAGAAGAACAGCGCAUAGAGUAACUGUUAUGCGUGUGACGGUAUCUAACCAGAAAGCCACGGCUAACUACGUGCCAGCAGCCGCGGUAAUACGUAGGUGGCAAGCGUUGUCCGGAUUUAUUGGGCGUAAAGCGAGCGCAGGCGGUCAAUUAAGUCUGAUGUGAAAGCCCCCGGCUCAACCGGGGAGGGUCAUUGGAAACAGGUUGACUUGAGUGCAGAAGGGGAGAGUGGAAUUCCAUGUGUAGCGGUGAAAUGCGUAGGUAUAUGGAGGAACACCAGUGGCGAAGGCGACUCUCUGGUCUGUAACUGACGCUGAGGCUCGAAAGCGUGGGUAGCAAACAGG